rnacentral:rRNA from 1 species
UACGUAGGGGGCUAGCGUUGUCCGGAAUCAUUGGGCGUAAAGAGCGUGUAGGCGGUCCGGUAAGUCCGCUGUGAAAGUCGGGGGCUCAACCCUCGAAUGCCGGUGGAUACUGUCGGGCUAGAGUACGGAAGAGGCGAGUGGAAUUCCUGGUGUAGCGGUGAAAUGCGCAGAUAUCAGGAAGAACACCUAUGGCGAAGGCAGCUCUCUGGGACGGUACUGACGCUGAGACGCGAAAGCGUGGGGAGCGAACAGG